rnacentral:rRNA from 1 species
AUGUGGUCACCAGAGCCAUGCGCAGCUCCAUAUACCUACCUCAUUGACAUCGCGUUUCUUGGUGAUAAACUGUAUGCCAUCACCAUGGCUGAGGACCUCAUCCCCCUUGAUCUUGCAUUGGAUGGAGACGGAAGUCCCGUGGUUGCAAUGGGAACACGUGUCAUCAAGAAAUCACUCCGCUAUGAUUGUUAUGAAUUAUUGACCACUUUUGAUGCGGUGGAUGAUGACCAGAAUGAAGAAGAGGAAGACGAUGAAGAGGAGGAAGAGGGAGAAGAUAAUGAUUUGCCCUGCUAUAUCAAUUGCUCAGAAGAAUUUGCAAGAGAUGUCGAACCUGGUAAUAUCAUUGUAAUUAGCCGGCACCUCAUCGAGUCGCAUGGGAAGCUACUCAUGGUAAGGCAUCGCCGGCAAUUCCAUCCAGAUGCUUUGUGGGUCACUCUCAUGGUGGAUGUUCUUGAAGCGGGCUUUAGCACACACGAUUGGGUGCCACUAAUCGGAGGGCUAGGCGGCGGUCAAGCACUCUUCGUUAGCAUGGACUUCUCCAAGUCUGUCCCGGCACCUUGUGGAGAGGUGGAGGAAGAUGCAAUUUAUUUUAUGGACACGAGAGACGUGUUCAACAUGAAGUCCGGUACUUCUAGCCGUCAAAGUUCCAUAGGGGGGGCAACAUGGGUCUUCCCUCCGGAGUACCAGCUUUAA